ACACGACUACAUUAGAUACCCGGGUAGUCCCAGCCGUAAACUAUGCGCGUUAGGUGUAUCGGUGACCACGAGUCACCGAGGUGCCGAAGGGAAACCGUGAAACGUGCCGCCUGGGAAGUACGGUCGCAAGGCUGAAACUUAAAGGAAUUGGCGGGGAGCACCACAACGGGUGGAGCCUGCGGUUUAAUUGGACUCAACGCCGGGAAGCUCACCGGAUAAGACAGCGGAAUGAUUGCCGGGCUGAAGACUCUGCAUGACUAGCUG
rnacentral:rRNA from 1 species